CAUUACUCGACCAAUUUUAUCAGAUCUCAACUGCGAAUGGAAGAGGAAUUUUGUCUGUGAACGUGGUUGUGCUCAGUUGAAGGAUGGUGAACGACAAUACUGGGAUCCUCCUUUGUGUUCUCAGACUUUCAGUGAAAUUGGAGAUGAAUGUAGCCUUAUUUGCAAAGAUGGAUAUGAACUUAGUGGAAGUGCUACAAUCACAUGCACUCUUGAUGGUUGGAAUGGCACUGCUGGUUUGAAUAAAAUACCUGAAUGCAAAAGUUGUGCUCUAUUGAAGGAUGGUAAAGGACAAUACUGGGACCCUCCACUGUGUUCUCAGACACACAGUGAAAUAGGAGAUGAAUGUAGCCUUGUUUGCAAAGAUGGAUAUGAACUUAGUG